rnacentral:lncRNA from 1 species
AGACACAACAACGAUUCCAUUCAACUAGAAGUUAAGAUUGCCCCCUGGACACUUUGGGCUUCUCCUACCUUUAAGUCAACAGGUUAACAAGAGAGUUACUUGGCUGAGGUGAUUGACCCAGAUUAUCAAGAUGAAAUCAGUCUACUACUCCACAACAGAGGAAGCCAAGCCACACUGCUAACUGAUGAGGGAUCAACUUGAAAGAGGGAGGACCUGCCAAUAGCCAGCAGCACAACUCCAGAUAUAUGGGAGUCAGGCUUUAGGGCAAAAACUGGGGUCCACAGAAUGCUUGCUGAAACAACUUUGCUCAUCCAAAAUCACAAAAAUCGCGUCAAAAAAAUGUUGAUGAUAAUUUAAUUUUCUUCACUCUCCAUGAAGAUGUUAGAUAAUGCUCACUCUGGGCAAGAAUAAAAGCCAGACUCAUCAA